CGGGACACGUGGUAUCCUGUCUGAAUAUGGGGGGACCGUCCUCCAAGGCUAAAUACUCCUGACUGACCGAUAGUGAACCAGUACCGUGAGGGAAAGGCGAAAAGAACCCCGGCGAGGGGAGUGAAAAAGAACCUGAAACCGUGUACGUACAAGCAGUGGGAGCCUCUUUAUGGGGUGACUGCGUACCUUUUGUAUAAUGGGUCAGCGACUUAUAUUCUGUAGCAAGGUUAACCGAAUAGGGGAGCCGAAGGGAAACCGAGUCUUAACUGGGCGUUAAGUUGCAGGGUAUAGACCCGAAACCCGGUGAUCUAGCCAUGGGCAGGUUGAAGGUUGGGUAACACUAACUGGAGGACCGAACCGACUAAUGUUGAAAAAUUAGCGGAUGACUUGUGGCUGGGGGUGAAAGGCCAAUCAAACCGGGAGAUAGCUGGUUCUCCCCGAAAGCUAUUUAGGUAGCGCCUCGUGAACUCAUCUCCGGGGGUAGAGCACUGUUUCGGCAAGGGGGUCAUCCCGACUUACCAACCCGAUGCAAACUGCGAAUACCGGAGAAUGUUAUCACGGGAGACACACGGCGGGUGCUAACGUCCGUCGUGAAGAGGGAAACAACCCAGACCGCCAGCUAAGGUCCCAAAGUCAUGGUUAAGUGGGAAACGAUGUGGGAAGGCCCAGACAGCCAGGAUGUUGGCUUAGAAGCAGCCAUCAUUUAAAGAAAGCGUAAUAGCUCACUGGUCGAGUCGGCCUGCGCGGAAGAUGUAACGGGGCUAAACCAUGCACCGAAGCUGCGGCAGCGACACUAUGUGUUGUUGGGUAGGGGAGCGUUCUGUAAGCCUGCGAAGGUGUGCUGUGAGGCAUGCUGGAGGUAUCAGAAGUGCGAAUGCUGACAUAAGUAACGAUAAAGCGGGUGAAAAGCCCGCUCGCCGGAAGACCAAGGGUUCCUGUCCAACGUUAAUCGGGGCAGGGUGAGUCGACCCCUAAGGCGAGGCCGAAAGGCGUAGUCGAUGGGAAACAGGUUAAUAUUCCUGUACUUGGUGUUACUGCGAAGGGGGGACGGAGAAGGCUAUGUUGGCCGGGCGACGGUUGUCCCGGUUUAAGCGUGUAGGCUGGUUUUCCAGGCAAAUCCGGAAAAUCAAGGCUGAGGCGUGAUGACGAGGCACUACGGUGCUGAAGCAACAAAUGCCCUGCUUCCAGGAAAAGCCUCUAAGCAUCAGGUAACAUCAAAUCGUACCCCAAACCGACACAGGUGGUCAGGUAGAGAAUACCAAGGCGCUUGAGAGAACUCGGGUGAAGGAACUAGGCAAAAUGGUGCCGUAACUUCGGGAGAAGGCACGCUGAUAUGUAGGUGAAGUCCCUCGCGGAUGGAGCUGAAAUCAGUCGAAGAUACCAGCUGGCUGCAACUGUUUAUUAAAAACACAGCACUGUGCAAACACGAAAGUGGACGUAUACGGUGUGACGCCUGCCCGGUGCCGGAAGGUUAAUUGAUGGGGUCAGCGCAAGCGAAGCUCUUGAUCGAAGCCCCGGUAAACGGCGGCCGUAACUAUAACGGUCCUAAGGUAGCGAAAUUCCUUGUCGGGUAAGUUCCGACCUGCACGAAUGGCGUAAUGAUGGCCAGGCUGUCUCCACCCGAGACUCAGUGAAAUUGAACUCGCUGUGAAGAUGCAGUGUACCCGCGGCAAGACGGAAAGACCCCGUGAACCUUUACUAUAGCUUGACACUGAACAUUGAGCCUUGAUGUGUAGGAUAGGUGGGAGGCUUAGAAGUGUGGACGCCAGUCUGCAUGGAGCCGACCUUGAAAUACCACCCUU
rnacentral:rRNA from 1 species